AGCAGCCGCGGUAAUUCCAGCUCCAAUAGCGUAUAUUAAAGUUGUUGCAGUUAAAAAGCUCGUAGUUGAAUUUCGGGAUCAGUUCGCUGGUCGUGCCUCUGGUAUGUACUGGUGUUACUGGUUCCUCCCUUCUGACGAACUGUCAUGUCAUUAGUUUGGUGUGGCGGGGAAUCAGGACUGUUACUUUGAAAAAUUAGAGUGUUUAAAGCAGGCUCGCGCUUGAAUACAUUAGCAUGGAAUAAUGAAAUAGGACGUUCGAUCCUAUUUUGUUGGUUUCUAGGAUUGACGUAAUGAUUAAUAGGGAUAGUUGGGGGCAUUAGUAUUCAAUUGUCAGAGGUGAAAUUCUUGGAUUUAUUGAAGACUAACUACUGCGAAAGCAUUUGCCAAGGAUGUUUUCAUUAAUCAAGAACGAAAGUUAGGGGAUCGAAGACGAUCGGAUACCGUCGUAGUCUUAACCAUAAACUAUGCCGACUAGGGAUCGGAUGAUGUUAAUUUUUAAUGACUC
rnacentral:rRNA from 1 species